UACGAAGGGGGCGAGCGUUGUUCGGAAUUACUGGGCGUAAAGGGUGCGCAGGCGGCCUUAGAAGUCAGAUGUGAAAGCCCCGGGCUCAACCUGGGAAUGGCAUUUGAUACUCUGAGGCUGGAGUACGGGAGAGGAGAGUGGAAUUCCCAGUGUAGAGGUGAAAUUCGUAGAUAUUGGGAAGAACACCGGUGGCGAAGGCGGCUCUCUGGACCGUAACUGACGCUGAGGCGCGAGAGCGUGGGGAGCAAACAGG
rnacentral:rRNA from 1 species